rnacentral:rRNA from 1 species
CAGUCGCCACGGGAAUACGUAGGUGGCAAGCGUUGUCCGGAAUUACUGGGCGUAAAGCGUGCGUAGGCGGUUCGUUAAGUCUGUUGUGAAAGCCCCGGGCUCAACCUGGGAAUGGCAAUGGAUACUGGCGAGCUAGAGUGUGUCAGAGGAUGGUGGAAUUCCCGGUGUAGCGGUGAAAUGCGUAGAGAUCGGGAGGAACAUCAGUGGCGAAGGCGGCCAUCUGGGACAACACUGACGCUGAGGCACGAAAGCGUGGGGAGCAAACAGGAUUAGAUACCCCUGUAGUCCCUGUCUCUUAUAC